rnacentral:rRNA from 1 species
UACGUAGGGGGCUAGCGUUGUCCGGAUUUAUUGGGCGUAAAGAGCGUGUAGGCGGCCAGGUAGGUCUGGUGUGAAAACUCGAGGCUUAACCUCGAGAUGUCAUCGGAAACCAUUUGGCUAGAGUCCGGAAGAGGAGAGUGGAAUUCCUGGUGUAGCGGUGAAAUGCGCAGAUAUCAGGAAGAACACCAAUGGCGAAGGCGACUACCUGGCCUGUUCUUGACGCUGAGGCGCGAAAGCUAGGGGAGCAAACGGG